UACGGGGGGGGCAAGCGUUGUUCGGAAUUACUGGGCGUAAAGGGUUCGUAGGUGGCCAACUAAGCCAGACGUGAAAUCCCUCAGCUUAACUGGGGAACUGCAUCUGGGACUGGAUGGCUUGAGUGCAGGAGAGGAACGCGGAAUUCCAGGUGUAGCGGUGAAAUGCGUAGAUAUCUGGAGGAACACCGGUGGCGAAGGCGGCGUUCUGGACUGCAACUGACACUGAGGAACGAAAGCCAGGGGAGCAAACGGG
rnacentral:rRNA from 1 species